rnacentral:rRNA from 1 species
AUUGAACGCUGGCGGCAGGCCUAACACAUGCAAGUCGAACGGUAACAGGAAGAAGCUUGCUUCUUUGCUGACGAGUGGCGGGCGGGUGAGCAAUGUCUGGGCAACUGCCUGCUGGAGGGGGAUAACUACUGGAAACGGUAGCUAAUACCGCAUAACGUCGCAAGACUAAAGAGGGUGACCUUCGGUCUUCUUGCCAUGGGAUGCGCCCGGAUGGGCUGAGUUAGUGGGUGGGGUGACGGCUCACCUAGGCGACGAUCCGUAGCUGGUCUGAGAGGAGGAUAGGCCGCACUAGAGCUGGGACGCGGACCAGGCUCCUACGGGAGGCAGCAGUGGGGAAUAUUGCGCAAUAGGCGCGAGCCUGAUGCAGCCAUGCCACGUGUGUGAAAGAGGCCUUGGGGUUGUGAAGUACGUUCUCCGGGGAGGAAGGGAGUAAAGUUAAUACCUUGGCUCAGUGACGGUACCCGCAGAAGAAGCACCGGCUAACUCCGUG